UGAGUACAAGAUGCUACGGCAUUGAAGCAGUCUAUGUCAUACUUCCAAGAAAAGCUUGCAAUGUCAUAAACAAAUAAUGCCUGUACCAUAACCGACACAGGUGGGUAGGUAGAGUAUACUAAGGGGCGCGAGAUAACUCUCUCUAAGGAACUCGGCAAAAUGACUCCGUAACUUCGGGAGAAGGAGUACCUUAUUUUAUAAGGUUGCAAUAACAAGGUCCAAGCAACUGUUUACCAAAAACACAGGUCUCCGCUAAGUCGUAAGACGAUGUAUGGGGGCUGACGCCUGCCCAGUGCCAGAAGGUUAAAGAAGUUGGUUAGCAUUAGCGAAGCUGAUAACUGAAGCCCUGGUGAACGGCGGCCGUAACAAUAACGGUCCUAAGGUAGCGAAAUUCCUUGUCGGGUAAGUUCCGACCCGCACGAAAGGCGUAAUGAUUUGGAUACUGUCUCGGAGAGGGGCUCGGUGAAAUAGACUUGUCUGUGAAGAUGCGGACUACCUGCACCUGGACAGAAAGACCCUAUGAAGCUUUACUGUAACUUGAGAUUGAAAUUGGACUUUAUUUGCGCAGUAUAGGUGGGAGACCUCGAAAGUAUUCUUGCGGGAAUAUUGGAGUCAUCAGUGAGAUACCACUCUUAUAAUGUUAGAUUUCUAACUUUGUAUCAUUAUCUGGUCAAAGAACAGUUUCAGGCGGGCAGUUUGACUGGGGCGGUCGCCUCCCAAAUGGUUACGGAGGCGCACAAAGGUUUCCUCUGAACGUGUAGAAAUCGUAUCUAGAGUGUAAAGGCAUAAGGAAGCUUGACUGUGAGACCUACAAGUCGAGCAGGGACGAAAGUCGGUCUUAGUGGUCUGACGGUGCUGAGUGGAAAGGCCGUCACUCAACGGAUAAAAGUUACUCUAGGAUAACAGGCUGAUCUCCCCCAAGAGUUCACAUCGACGGGGAGGUUUGGCACCUCGAUGUCGGCUCAUCGCAUCCUGGGGCGGUAGUACGUCCCAAGGGUUGGGCUGUUCGCCCAUGAAAGCGGUACGCGAGCUGGGUUCAGAACGUCGUGAGACAGUUCGGUCCAUAUCCGGUGUAGGCGUUAGAGUAUUGAGAGGAGCCUUCUUUAGUACGAGAGGACCGAGAAGGACAUACCUCUGGUGUACCAGUUAUCGUGCCAACGGUAAACGCUGGGUAGCUAUGUAUGGAGAGGAUAACCGCUGAAAGCAUCUAAGUGGGAAGCCCACCUCAAGAUAAGUAUUC
rnacentral:rRNA from 1 species